rnacentral:misc_RNA from 1 species
UGACUAGUGAGUGCAUGUUGGCGUCCUGCCUGUGAUGGGUGGGGUUGAGGGCAUGCUGUUGGGUUGUGGGGUAUCACAUGUGUGGUGGCCUGUGCGGUGCUGUGUUGCGUGCGUGUGUGCGUGGUGUGGUGUUCGUGUGGUGGUUGAGAACUGUAUAGUGGAUGCAAGUAUCUUUAUUGUUGUAUGUGUUUGUGCGACGUGGUGUUGUGCAAAGUUGUGUAGUGCGAUCGGUGGAUGCCUUGGCACCAAGAGCCGAUACAUGACAUUUUGACAGACUUAAUACCUUCGCCGACAACGAGGUUCCAGGUGAGGGCACCUUCUUGACCUCGCCGACGUGACCCUGGCGGGCCUCACCAUGUGCCGCGGCGGGCAGACCCGCUUUGCCGCCCCCCACCCCAGCGCGUGGGCAGGCCGCCUUUCAAUCUGAAAAGCCUCCUUCAACCCGGUUGCCCACACAAAAUCAUCCCGAAGGACCGCAGGGAGCCCCGCAAAGAUG